GAUGAAGAACGCAGCGAAAUGCGAUAAGUAAUGUGAAUUGCAGAAUUCAGUGAAUCAUCGAAUCUUUGAACGCACAUUGCGCCCGCCAGUACUCUGGCGGGCAUGCCUGUUCGAGCGUCAUUUCAACCCUCAAGCCCCCCGGCUUGGUGUUGGGGCCCUGCGGCUGCCGCAGGCCCCGAAAUGGAGUGGCGGGCUCGCAGCGAACUCCGAGCGUAGUAGAAUCCUAUCUCGCUAGGGAGGCGCGGCGCGCUCCGGCCGUUAAAGGAACUUCUUUUAACCCAAGGUUGACCUCGGAUCAGGUAGGAAUACCCGCUGAACUUAAGCAUAUCAAUAAGCGGAGGA
rnacentral:misc_RNA from 1 species